UAUUUGUUUUUGUUUUCUUCUUCGGAGGCAUUUCAGAAGGAACAUCCGAAGUUUCGGGAUCAGAUGCUUCUCCCUCAUUUGGUGCAGACUCCUCUCCAACAAUUUCCCACUUUUGCCUCUUAAGAUUCAACACUUCUGUAUCCCCAUCAUCAUAGGCAACCUCAUGCUUCUUUUUAACAGGAUCAUAAGAACGUAUUACACCUUCAUAAAAUGUUUGAUCUAUAGGCCACCAAACUUUAACCCUCAAAUCAACCAGACUAGCGUUGUAUUCUCUAGUCCUAGAUGCCUUUUCAUUGCCUGAGGCACGCUUCCUCUUGCUGUUGACAUUGGGGGUCUCCUCCAAUUGAUGCUCAUCUUUUGGUAAUUUUGUUGCUGACUUUGGUGAAGAUACCUUUUCCAUGUUAUCAUCUUUGGUUGAACUUUUGAUCACAAUCUUUUCUGUAAUGGAUUUUCCACGACUGUGAUGUUUCUUAUCCUGAGACUGAAUUAAAGAGGAUUCAUCACCAUUGUUACUGCUUGCAUCCACCUUCUUUGAAGACUGCUUCAGUGGUUUUGCCUCUGAUUCACUUGUAGUGCGGCUUUCCUUCUUGGAUGCAUCUGUUGCCAUUGGUGCCUUUUCCUCAUUGGAAACCNNNNNNNNNUGUGCCCUUCUUGCUGAUCGCUUAUUUAGUUUUGCUUCUGAAUCACUAGCUCCUUCAGAUGCCUUUCUGGGAACAUCAUCAGCAGAUGGUUCAGACUCUUUGAUCAAGCUCUCUUUCUUCUUUGAUCUCCCAGCCUUCUUGGAAAGACUUUCAUCAAGGAGGCUUCCGCUUCCAGAUGGAGAAGCAGCAGUCAUGGACUCGCCCUCUAAUGCCUUGGGGGAGGAAGGCUGACUACUACCAGCUUCUUUUCUAUUUUCUGAAGACACAGCUGCCUCAACAGAUGGUUCCUCGUGCGGUGAACCAGGAACAUUCUUGCCAUGAGUUUUAUCAUCCAGUAGUUUCUCAGCUUCCCUCUCAGCAACAAUAUGAGAACUCUCAGAUGGUUCUGUCAACUUUGUUGACGAAUUAAGUUUCCUCCCUCUCUUUUUGGUUGCCUGUGCUGGCUUGCUUUCCUCAUUAACUGCCUUCUCAGUCUCAGUAUUGUUUGACAUGUCAAUACUUUUUGACUUAUCAGCAUGAUUACCAUCAUCUUGCUUCUUUAAGGAACACGAAUCUGCCAAGGAGUCAUCUUCACCAGUCUGUGCAAUACCAUUGCUCACAAUUGAUUUGGGAGAUUUGUCAUUUAUAGGAUCAGCUUGUUUAGGAG
rnacentral:misc_RNA from 1 species